GCAUGUGGCUUAGUGGUAGAGUACUUGCUUAGCGUGCAAGAGGCCCUGGGUUCAAUUCCCCAGCACUGCA
rnacentral:tRNA from 1 species